rnacentral:lncRNA from 1 species
GAUUAGUAAGUUGCUUAUAAAUAUGAUUACACAUCUAGCUAACUAAUAUCAAUUUUGGAGAUGAACACAUAUGGCUGCACAUUAUUGUGAACAACUUAAAUAUUGCUAUAAUAAGUUAGUUCAAGUAUUAAUUACCUGACAAGAAAUACAAGACACAGGUGCAUUUGUACCUUAAAUUUCUUUUCCUUUUUCAUUUUCUUCUCUAUCUUCUCCUCCAAACACUUUUGUUUAGCUUGCUGCGUGGUUCAGUUGGGAACUUCAAGAAUACUUUUCUUCUCCUUUAGCUAUUAAGAAGUUUUUUCUUUUCCUUUUUCAUUUUCUUCUCUAUCUUCUCCUCCAGACACUUUUGUUUAGCUUGCUGCGUGGUUCAGUUGGGGACUUCAAGAAUACUUUUCUUCUCCUUUAGCUAUUACGAAGUUUAAACUUUAGUCCUACACAUAAUAGUAGUAAAGUAAUGUUUAUUUCUAAAAAAAUAAAAUAAAUUUUUUAUAUAUUGUGAGAGUAGUAAUUAAUAUGUGAAAAGGAGACAUGAAGGAUGAAGGUAUACAUAGAGGGAGCUACUGAUACUAUGCUAUCAGAUUAGUACUGAUCAGUAUUUUUACCACUACAAUCGAAAGAAGAAUUAAAUAUAACAGGGGACAACUAAUCAUAGUUAAUUAGAUUGAUACGAAUCAAUACGAUUAUCAAUGGAAAUAGAAAGCAAAAUAAAAUAUACCUAUUCUUAUAGUUAUCAACUUUUCAGGUUACUACUUGCAUUUAUGACGUGAGAUUAUUUAUAGUUAUCUUUUAAAUGAUCUAAUAUGUAAAAGUUAUUAUAUAUUAAUGAAGGAUAAAUUAUUGUAAGUCAACUUACUCUGAUAGAAACUAUACUUGCUAUCUACAUAUGUUCCCAUUUCUUAAAGUUAUCUUAUUUGACUAGCUAUAGAAAUAUUUGUUGCACAAAAUACUACUUCUAAGCAUGCUAGUUGGGAUGUUAGGAAAAUAUUUGAAUCAAGGACAUGGUGACCAUUCCAGAAGAGAAAAGAAAUGAGGUGAUGUAUCAGAUCAUACUGCACAAACACUUUUUUCACUUUUCUCUCCUUGCCUCCUUAAUCUAGCAUAGACCAUACAAAUGCAUCAAAUCAGACUGCACAAACACUCUUUAUAAUUUAACCAAACAAAAGAGGGAAGUAAUGCAAACCUAGAAGAAAAGCAAAGAAAAGCAGAAUUGUCAGUUACACUUAAAUGAGCAUUAAAUCAAACAUAUGAGAAAGAUAAGAAAUUAAACACUAAACAAGCAAACAAUCUGGCAUCUCGAGAUAAUAUGAAUUAUCAUAACAUGAAUUAUCAUAACAUGAAAGAACUUGUAAAUAUAAGAUUUAUUUGAAUCUAUAUCAGCAAGAUUAAUUUACAUGCAUGAAAGGUUCAUUUGAAUAACAUUAAAGAAAAUAUUCACCAAGAUUAAGUUAUAGUAAGUGAUAAACUUAAUUAUGAUAAAUCAGAACAAACUAUUGAUGCAUAUAAAAGUCAAAUAAAAAAGGCCCAUUAAAAUCAAGUUUUCUUAAGAGAUAAAUUGAAUGAACAUAUCUUGAAGCCUAUGAAAAAGAUGAAAUCUUUCUACACGAUAAACUUGAUAAAUACACUUUUUAGCUGAGAGUCUAUCAAAAACACCUGGUUUAUGACAAAGUAGGUAAGGUCUUCGUACAUCCUACCCUCCCUAGACCUCUCUUAGGAAAUUACAUUGGAUAAAUUCUCCCUAGACAUCAAUUCAUUCCAUGGUUGGCACUACAUCGCAAACUAUUCACAAUCGAUAGAUUCACUAAAUGGGGCAUUCACGUUGAUCUACAGUGUGUACUGUGCUUGACCACUACUAAGGAAACACAUGCUCAAUUUUUUUUAAUGUGAUUACUCUAGGUAUAUUUGACAGUCCCUACUUGAUUGAUCGAUUGGGUCUUGAGAGGAAGAGGUGCAUUGUCUAGAAUCUCUUAUCACACUUAGUAGACCAAAGACUAGGAUAUUAGACUUUCUAUUUGCUGCAACUGUGUACCACGUGUGGACUGAAAGGAACUAUAGAAGAUUUCAAUAGCAACAACAAGAUAGGCAAGUAAAAUUGAAGGAGAUAGCACUACAACUUCAUAUCGUAGGUCAAAACAAGAUUAAAAAGAGGAAAUGCCUAACUAUGUUGAAAUCAAACUCUCUCAAAUAACAGUACAAUAAAUUAGAACGUACAUACUAUCAAAUUUGGAUGAAAGUACAAUUAACAAACUUUCAAUUACCACGGUAAACCAGGAAAAUAAGAUGAAUUUGAAUCAAAUAUAAGGUUUCCUUUUUUCAUAUUGUGCUACAAGUAUUACUACUUUUAUGUUUUUAAUAUGCAUAGCAUAAGCUAGUGACUGAAUUUGCAUUCUAGAAAAGGUGAAUAAAAUUCAAUAGAACAAAAGAAUGUCUAGUAACUCUGGUAGAACCCUUCAGGCACUAUUACAAACUCAAUUAAAAAGACACGAACAUAAAUGAGGUCACAAGCAUUACUAUUAAAUUAAAAGAGUAUCACAAUAUCACACAAUUCAACAAGCAGAAUUCCCCUAACUUCAUAAAAAAAAACUAUCAGAAUCUCCUGACAAAUUAAACGAAAUACCUAGCAGAUUCCCAGGUGAAUGAAAGCUAUAACCAACUAAAUUUUACAUAAGAAUCAAAGCAUAUGAAAAAAUUCUAGAAGAAAGCAACUUUUCAGGCACAUACCUUAAAAAAUAGAUUCACAUUCCUAAAAAUCUCAGAAUAAAGCAACUAUUUCUCUUUUGUUGAAGAUGGAUUAACGAUUUAGGUACCGUGUGCUAUAACAAUACUGAUGGUCUCCAAGUCUCAAGUCUCUAACAUAGUACAAUGGUCUUAACGAGAAGAGUGAAAAAAUGGAAAAGUAUUGAUGGGUUAGCCGAAGGUCUCUCACAACGAUGAAUUAGACCUAACUGCUUGUUGAAGAAAGGGUUAGGUCAAUCUCUUGUUCCAGAAGAGAGGGUUUUGGAAGAGGAUUCUGGUAGAAAGAAAAAUAAGACAAUAUAUAUAUCCC